UUAAGCAUAUCAAUAAGCGGAGGAAAAGAAACUAACAAGGAUUCCCCUAGUAACUGCGAGUGAAGCGGGAAAAGCUCAAAUUUAAAAUCUGUCAGUCUUUGGCUGUCCGAGUUGUAAUCUAGAGAAGCGUUAUCCGCGCUGGACCGUGUACAAGUCUCCUGGAAUGGAGCGUCAUAGAGGGUGAGAAUCCCGUCUUUGACACGGACUGCCAGUGCUUUGUGAUGCGCUCUCAAAGAGUCGAGUUGUUUGGGAAUGCAGCUCAAAAUGGGUGGUAAAUUCCAUCUAAAGCUAAAUAUUGGCGAGAGACCGAUAGCGAACAAGUACCGUGAGGGAAAGAUGAAAAGAACUUUGGAAAGAGAGUUAAACAGUACGUGAAAUUGCUGAAAGGGAAACGCUUGAAGUCAGUCGCGUUGUCCAGGGAUCAACCUUGCUUCUGCUUGGUGUACUUUCUGGUUGACGGGUCAGCAUCAAUUUUGACCAUUGGAAAAAGAUUAAGGGAAUGUGGCAUCCUUGGAUGUGUUAUAGCCUUUGGUUGCAUACAAUGGUUGGGAUUGAGGAACUCAGCACGCCGCAAGGCCGGGUUUUUUACAAAGCCACGUACGUGCUUAGGAUGCUGGCAUAAUGGCUUUAAUCGACCCGUCUUGAAACACGGACCAAGGAGUCUAACAUGCCUGCGAGUGUUUGGGUGGAAAACCCGAGCGCGUAAUGAAAGUGAAAGUUGAGAUCCUUGUCAUGGGGAGCAUCGACGCCCGGACCAGACCUUUUGUGACGGUUCCGCGGUAGAGCAUGUAUGUUGGGACCCGAAAGAUGGUGAACUAUGCCUGAAUAGGGUGAAGCCAGAGGAAACUCUGGUGGAGGCUCGUAGCGAUUCUGACGUGCAAAUCGAUCGUCAAAUUUGGGUAUAGGGGCGAAAGACUAAUCGAACCAUCUAGUAGCUGGU
rnacentral:rRNA from 1 species